UACGUAGGCAGCGAGCGUUUGUUCGGAGUUACUGGGCGUAAAGGGUGUGUAGGCGGUCUUUUAAGUUUGGUGUGAAAUCUCCCGGCUCAACCGGGAGGGUGCGCCGAAUACUGAGAGACUUGGAGUGCGGGAGAGGAAAGUGGAAUUCCUGGUGUAGCGGUGAAAUGCGUAGAUAUCAGGAGGAACACCGGUGGUGUAGACGGCUUUCUGGACCGUAACUGACGCUGAGACACGAAAGCGUGGGUAGCAAACAGG
rnacentral:rRNA from 1 species